GUCCCAUUUCCAGAGCUCCUCGCUCACACUGAGGGAAGGCCCCUGAGAACAGGAUCUGUGCCUCCCCAUCAGACCAGCGGCUCCCCUGGGCAAGGGCUGGAUCUCCCCUAGGAGAGGAGGAGCUCCCAGGGCCGGGGCUAGGACAUCCCAUCAGACCAGGGGCUCCCUGGGGGAGGGUCUGUGUCUCCUGGUCAGACCAGAAGCUCCCUGAGGACAGGGCCUGACUCUGGGUUUCCAUGUAGCAAUAGCUUUGUUUCCUGCUAUUGCUGGAGUCAGCCAGGAUCUUAGAGGACUAGCCUUACAAGAAGGCAGAACAGGUCGUCUCUAUCUUCUCCAGCCCCUUCUGACUCUAAGGGCAUCUUCCAUACCAGCAUUGGCAAAGAUCUUCAAGUUCUCGUGCCCAAACAGCAACUUCAAACUGCCUGUGAGCAUCUCCCACUCCCUGCAUUACCCAAAAAAGUAGAGAGAGGAAGGGCUCACUUUGGGAACCUGGACAGAGGGGCAAGGCGUGCAAAAAAUGUCCUCUGGUGCUGGGAAGAUGGGGAACAAAGCAGAUGCUUGAGUGCCGGCUUAACACGCGUGCCAAUACUUCACCAGUGCUGCUCUAUACCAGACGAAUGUCUGUAAACCUUGAGCCACAUUACAUUAUGAUGAAGAAACUGAGACUGGGAGAAAGGGAAAGGACUUGUCAAGGUUACCUCUGAAGCAAUUUUCAAAGCCAAGAUAUGAACUCAAAACCUUCUGAUAGCAAAUAUUUAAUCAGGACUCCUUCUCCCAGCCCAGGCUCCCCGACCACAGCCAGGAAGAGUCAUGGAGAUUAGCAGCAGAAGCAGGGGGCCGUGGAGAAGAAAUGUGCUUACCCAAGGACCCAAGAGUGCUCCAUGUUCCGGGACACUCUGAACUUCCACUACCUGGAAAGGACUAUUUUAGGGAGCAUUCAUAUGAGGUAAGUGCUCACACAGAGAUCAGAAGAAGUGAUACAAAGGCCUCUCAGAAAACUCCAGUAUCGAUGGAGAGACGUGGGAGACGUGGGAGACGUGGGAGACGUGGGAGACGCUGGCACCGGAUCACCCAGCAUGGCAUGCCAACAUUAAACGAGGCACCGUGUUCCAUGAGCAGAGCAGACUUGCAAUAGCCCAAGGAACGGUGAAAUAAAUGCAUAAAUCUCCAGACAUCUCCAUCCCGAAUGUUCAGCUGGCUAUUUGUGCCCAGCUAGUGACAGCCUUCCCAGCUCAGACUGCUCCGAUCGGCCAGUCACUCACACUGUAUAUCCUGACCUCACCAUGAAAGCCCAUCAACAAUCUGGAAAGGAGGCGGGAUAGUGAAUUCUCUAAAUAGUGAGAUCCUGGAAUCGGCCUUUCAGGCAAGAAAAAAUAGGAAGAAUUCCUGGGGCAGCACUGGCUUGGAGAGUUAUCUCCAACGUGAUCUCAAGUUCCAGAGUUCUAGAGUCCCAGGGGCUGCGUCCCAGACUUUCUAGAGGGAGAUUUCCUGAUGCCCCAUGCUCUUUGGGGAAACAUAACAGUCUUGGUUGGUCCUAUGCAUAUUCCUACUUCAAGAGCAAAGCUGGUGAAUUACUCAAAUAGUAAAGAUCCCAUGAUGUGAGCUUCAAAGUCUAUGUACCCAAGGGAGUGGGGAAACCUAAAUCAUAGGGUGGUGCUAUGAAUCUUGGGGAGAACACUUCAUCAGAAUGACUAAGGGUGCCCCAAGAAUAACUCUAAAUUCAGUUCUCUAUUGUGUAAGUUGAGAGAGGGGGGUCAGGGGAUGGUGAGACAAUCAAGGGAUUUCUUCUUGAUUGAAUGUUUUUUAAUUCAAUUAUUUAUAAACUGUAAUAAAAUACUCUUCUUACAGAUAUUAUAUAGGGUGAAAGGGGGGAGAGGCACAGAUGAGCACCUCAAGAUUUAGGUACUUGAGGUUACACAGAACCUUCUCCCCUAAAAAACCCUUACUCCCUUCAGGGUCCCCUCACUCUUACAUGCCUGCAUUUAUUUACUAAAGAUGAAUUUAAUACCUCAAGAGCAACUGUCACUCUCCAAGUAGCCCCUCCCCCCACCAACUGUCAUCUCUGCCCAUCAGUCUUCACUCUAACAUUCCAACUGCUGUCUGUUCUACAUCAGUGGCAGAAAGGCCAAAGCUUGAUUCAGUUUUCCUUAGAGAGAGAGAGAGAGAAGGGAUGAAAGAGACAGAGAGAAAAGAGAGAGAAAGAAAAAGACAGAGAUGGAGACAGAGAGAGGAAAAGGAAAGAGAGAGAGAGAGAGAGAGAGAGAGAGAGAGAGAGAGAGAGAGAGAGAGAGAGAGAGAGAGAGAGAGAGAGAGAGAGAGAGUUGUUAUGUUAUUCAUGGGGUCCUGGGAAUCCUAAGUGGCUUAUGAAUUUUCUAUAAGGGGAAAUAAAGGAAAUAAAGGCUCUCCCAUACUCAGUACUCAUAUUUUCUGUGGAAUGCCUAUUCAUCAUUUGAGGACCCUGCCACCUGAUUUGAGACACACUAAACAUGAACUAUCCUAAAUUUUGUCUUAGAGAUUCUCCAGAACUGAUCUAGUCUGGGGAAGGGGGGAGGAUGAGCCAAAAGAAGAGAAAUUGCCCCUUUGGAGUCAAGUCUCCAGAAUGGCACCCAGCCCCCCUUAUUCUAGUAUUCUGGGAGGGGCCAUGGGUUAUAAUAGCAUAUGAUGAGUGAGCACACACACAGUGCUUCUGGAAUUGGGAAAAGAAAGAGCAGUUUAGGCUAGGGCAGUCAGGAUAAACUUCCUGGAGGAGGUGCUUCUUAGCCUUGAUUUUGAAGGAUGAGGAGGAUUUGAGGAUGGAAGUCACUCAUUCCUUUUAUUUGUUUACUUAUUUUAAACCCUUACCUUCUGUCUUGGAAUCAAUACUGUGUAUUGGCUCCAAGGCAGAAGAGUGGUAAGGGCUAGGCAACAGGGGUUAAGUGACUUGCCCAGGGUCACACAGAUGGGAAGUGUCUGAGGCCAGAUUUAAACCCAGAACCACCCGUCUCUGGACCUGGCUCUCAAUCCACUGAGCUACCCAGCUGCCUCCACUCAUUCCUUUUAAAGAGGAUGACCUAAGGAAUGGAAAUGAGAGUAAGCCUGAUGUAGCAGUAGGGGCAGGGAAGGGGCAAGAGAGGAGAGGGAGAAUCAGAGUGGAUAGCAUAAGGGCUAAAGUCACUAAGCCAGGAACCAGCAACCCAAUUCCAGGCUUGCUCCAUCCAGAUCCCAAUCAACAAGUUUUCCCUUUUGGCCUUACUCCACCGUUUCUGGGGUGAGGUGGAAACUGGGCUAAUGUAGUCUGGACCUGGGCUAUAUUUAAAUGUCAUCUGGAAUGAUGUUUCAGGCGUCACAUCUCCAACUGGACAGGCCAAGUGGCACCCAGUCCCCCAGGUGAAUCCACAAGGAAAUAGAUCUCCAUUUCCCAUGGGUCCUGAGGGCAAGGGUCAGGCAAGCCCCUCCUAGCAGCAGGAGGAGCCCUAGAAACCCUACAGAGGAUGCAGAUGCAUUGGGGGAGGCACAGGCUGCCCUUGGGGCCAGCAGGAGCCCAGAGGCAAAUGCCAUUCUCAGGUCCGAGGAAUGAUUCUCCCAGGCUGGAAUGUCCCUGUCCUCAGCCAAGAGGGAAUGGUGGAGAGGAUGUGUGGGGCUCCAGGUGAUGAAGAAAGUCUCCGGUUCUUGUUUUUACAGUGAUGGUGACAGGGGCCAAGCAGACCGUGAGUUUCGGAAUGAGAUUCCGAGCUUCCCAAAGAGAUCCUGUGGUUUGCAGAAAGAGCACAGCUAGGUGGUGGUUCAAUGGAUGAGAGCCAGGCCUGGAGAUGCCUGAGAGGCUCCCCCACCCCACCCCUCCACCUGGUUCUAUUC